AAAAUUGCAACAUGGAUUCACAAACUGCAAACAAAACUACUGAGACUUCUAUUAAAGUGACAGAAAAACCUGCAACAAAUCCGCCUUUGUCCAACAAAUGCUAAUACUUCUGUCUCAGAACUCAUAAACACUGAUGGUCCAAAAAUGAACUCCAUGAAUCUUCUUGUGACAGGUCUGAGAAUUCUGCUUGCUAAAUGUGUUGCAGUUAAUGCAAUGAUGACGGUGAAGGCAUUCAUAUUUUAAAAGUUAAAUUCAACCAAAUCAUCUGAAUAAUCAAACAUUUUAACUUAAAGUUUUCAUCAAACCUUGCCAAACAGACAAAGGCAGUUACAGUCAGCAAUAGGGUCAGCAUUUAUCAGCAAAAUGUUCUGUCUAAUAAUGUUACAUGGAAUGAAAAAUACAAAUUGUUAUCAAUGUAUUUUAAAUAUACAGGAUAUCGAUAAAACUUAUAUUGCAAACUUGUAGAAACAUUUCUGAAUUCAGUGGUAUAAUAUGUGAAAUUGCUUUGUUAUGAUGUGUGUGUUUUCAGCUUUAGUUGCAAGGUAAUUUUUUUAUACUUUUAUAUUUUUAACUUUUUUCUUUUAGCCUACAUAAUAGUAUCGCAUUGUUUAAGACUUUUACAUUGUCUGCUUGUGUAACUGAUAACUAUUUGACUUAACUAUUGAGGCUCUGAUCUUUGCAUGUAAUAUGAUUUUUCAAAACAUAUAUUAAAUAAUAAACUGUCUUGACAAAGACAAAGUUUCAUGUAAGCAUGUCUAAACCACAGUUUCAACAGUUUAUUCGCACUGGAGGCUGACUCUAACCACAGUUUCAGAUAUAGAUCUACUGCUCGCUUCAGGUUCCAAGAAUUAGUAUGUUUUUUUAUAUGUUUUUUCCCCUCGGUUACAGCAAGAAAAACAUCUGUAAAGUCUUACAGCAGCUACAGUUUCUGGGGCUUUUUUUAUGUUACUUAAUUAUUUAACUUUGCAUAACUAACAUGAAAUGAUUAAAAUAUAUAUUCCAUAAAAUAGUUUGUCAAACCAUGAUGAUAACAUUGUGAGAGAGCACAUUUUUUCAGUUCUUUUUAUGAAUAAUUUACCCCCGGUUUACAGUCAAGGCUUAAAGCUAGUACCAGACUAAAAUGCAUGUUUGUAUUUAUUUCUUUAUUUCUUUAUUUGUAUAUUUGUAGUUUGUUUCCAUCUCAAGAUGCACACCUGUAAUAUUUUCUUCUAAGGCAUUUUUAUAAAAGCCACUUAAAAAUCCUAAUUUAACUAUAGGCCUAGUCCUGACUUAAGCUAAGCCCCGUCUGUGAAACCGGGCCUUAAUUUAUUAUAUAUUAAUGAAUUUUAAGAAAUGUUCUCACUCUCUUUCAUUGAAACAUUGAGCUGAGCUUGCUAUCCACUCUAAGACCAUGAAAUAAAGAGUACUGCCCUCUUGUGGCUGUUAAUAGGAUUUUGUUUUGACAGGCAGACUGGAGUGACCUCUAGUGGCCGAAUGGGCAUUGGCAUCCAUGUGAUUUCGCAUAUUCCACGUUUUUUGCUUAUGUGUGAACAUCCAAGACUCGCAAAAGCUGUUGGCUCACGGGAAGCAUGAUUCAAGUCCGGCCUGGUUCAUGUCCCGAGUUCAGUCUGGCUGUUAGAAAACACUUUCGAUCACAGAAUAAAAUGUAUUCCCUGGUGAAAAAACCAG